rnacentral:rRNA from 1 species
UACGGAGGAUGCAAGCGUUAUCCGGAAUGAUUGGGCGUAAAGCGUCCGCAGGUGGCAAUGUAAGUCUGCUGUCAAAGCGUCUGGCUCAACCAGAUAAAGGCAGUGGAAACUACAUAGCUAGAGUAAGGUAGGGGUAGAGGGAAUUCCAGGUGUAGCGGUGAAAUGCGUAGAUAUCUGGAGGAACACCGGUGGCGAAGGCGGCAUCCUGGACCGGCAUUGACGCUGAGGCGCGAAAGCUAGGGUAGCAAACGGG